GCCAGUUGCUAACAGGAGAGCUGAGCACUCUGGCGAGACUGCCGCCGACAAGGCGGAGGAAGGUGGGGAUGACGUCAAGUCAUCAUGGCCUUUAUGCCCAGGGCUACACACGUGCUACAAUGGCCGGCACAGACGGCAGCUUAGUGGCGACACUUGGCAAAUCCUCUAAAGCCGGUCCCAGUUCGGAUUGCAGUCUGCAACUCGACUGCAUGAAGCCGGAAUCGCUAGUAAUCGCAGAUCAGCCAAGCUGCGGUGAAUACGUUCCCGGGCCUU
rnacentral:rRNA from 1 species